AAGAACGCUUCUACUAUCUAGUUUGUGGAUAAUACAUCAAGCUAAGCAUCAUGAUGAUGAAGUUAUUCCUCGUUACUUUACUUUGCGCGACGCUGGUGAUCGCUGAUUCACUGGCCCAUGACUUCCAAGAUGCGGCGCGAGGACCAGUAAAGGGAUUUGUCAAUGUAGCCGAUCACGUUAAGGGCCAUGCAAGUGGUUUAGUGCGACGAUCGGCAGAGGGUCCACCAGGACAUGGACAACAUCCACCAUCACCACCAGGACCAACAGACGGAGAUUCAUCGUAGAAUCACAUCAAGGAUCAUCGUUGAAUAUCCUAUAUGGGAUAUUGAAGCUGACGAUUGUAAGGCAGAUAAAGGUGAUUCACAUGGCACUUUGACACGUAUACUAAUUAACACGUUAUAUAAGAUUACUUUGCACAAAUGAGAUAACUCCGAUGAUUUUAGAAGAAUAAAACUUAACAUUGCAAGAUAA